GCUGGUGUGGCUGGGGCAGGGAGGUCCCUUGCUAACUGGCUCUCUCUCCCCUAACCCCACUCCUGGUGGGCGCAGGACGAGGCGCAGCAGCUCGUGUUCCUGCACGCCAUCUACCCCGCGUGCCUCGCUGCCCAGCAGAGAGGGGACUACACAUUGGAGCCACACUGCUCGAAGGCGGCUGUGGCGGAGAGGAUUGUGGAGCUCAUUGAGGAGCUUCCUCCUAACUCUCCACCCAGCGCCGUCCUGGCCAACUCCCUCAUUGCUGUGGCCAACCUCAGCACCAUGACACCUGCCCUGGAGCCGGAGCUGGAGACCCACCUCCUCCGAGCCACCCUGCACGCAGUCUUCACCCUGGGCACACAGAUGGACACCAACCAAG